GCCUAAUACAUGCAAGUCGAACGAUAGUGAGAAGCUUGCUUCUCACGAAAGUGGCGCACGGGUGCGUAACGCGUAUGCAACCUACCUUAAUCAGGGGGAUAGCCCGAAGAAAUUCGGAUUAACACCGCAUAAAAUCACAGUAUAGCAUUAUACAAUGAUCAAAUAUUUAUAGGAUUAAGAUGGGCAUGCGUGACAUUAGUUAGUUGGCGGGGUAACGGCCCACCAAGACCACGAUGUCUAGGGGAUCUGAGAGGAUGACCCCCCACACUGGUACUGAGACACGGACCAGACUCCUACGGGAGGCAGCAGUAAGGAAUAUUGGUCAAUGGAGGCAACUCUGAACCAGCCAUGCCGCGUGCAGGAAGACAGCCCUCUGGGUCGUAAACUGCUUUUAUUCGGGAAUAAACCUAUCUACGUGUAGAUAGCUGAAUGUACCGAAGGAAUAAGGAUCGGCUAACUCCGUGCCAGCAGCCGCGGUAAUACGGAGGAUCCAAGCGUUAUCCGGAUUUAUUGGGUUUAAAGGGUGCGUAGGCGGCUUAUUAAGUCAGGGGUGAAAGACGGUGGCUCAACCAUCGCAGUGCCUUUGAUACUGAUGAGCUUGAAUAUACUAGAGGUAGGCGGAAUGUGACAAGUAGCGGUGAAAUGCAUAGAUAUGUCACAGAACACCGAUUGCGAAGGCAGCUUACUAUGGUAUUAUUGACGCUGAGGCACGAAAGCGUGGGGAUCAAACAGGAUUAGAUACCCUGGUAGUCCACGCCCUAAACGAUGAAUACUCGCUGUUAGCGAUAUACAGUUAGCGGCUAAGCGAAAGCGUUAAGUAUUCCACCUGGGGAGUACGCUCGCAAGAGU
rnacentral:rRNA from 1 species